rnacentral:rRNA from 1 species
GGUAAUUCCAGCUCCAAUAGCGUAUAUUAAAGUUGUUGCGGUUAAAAAGCUCGUAGUUGGAUCUCGGCGGGCAGGGGGCGGUCCGUUAUUUGACGCGACUGCCCCAUUUGCCCGUGUUUCUUCGGCAGAACUCCCGGGGUGCUCUUCGCCGAGUGUCCCGUUGGGGGCUGCCAGGUUUACUUUGAAAAAAUUAGAGUGCUCCAAGCAGGCUCGACACGCCUGAAUAUUCGUGCAUGGAAUAGUGGAAUAGGACGUCGUUCCUAUUUUGUUGGUUUUCGGGAAUCGACGUAAUGAUUAAUAGGGACAGCCGGGGGCAUUAGUAUUCAGACGACAGAGGUGAAAUUCUUGGACCGUCUGGCGACUCACUGCUGCGAAAGCGUUUGCCAAGUAUGUUUUCAUUAAUCAAGAACGAAAGUUAGAGGUUCGAGGGCGAUCAGAUACCGCCCUAGUUCUAACCAUAAACGAUGCCAGCUAGCGAUCCGCAGACGUUUUUAUUGUAGGCUCUGCGGGAAGCUUCCGGGAAACCAAAGCGUUUGGGUUCCGGGGGAAGUAUGGUUGCAAAGCUGAAACUUAAAGAAAUUGACGGAAGGGCACCACCAGGCGUGGAACUUGCGGCUUAAUUUGACUCAACACUGGAAAUCUCACCAGGCCCGGACACCGGAAGGAUUGACAGAUUGAGAGCUCUUUCUCGAUUCGGUGGGUGGUGGUGCAUG